rnacentral:rRNA from 1 species
AUUGAACGCUGGCGGCAUGCCUUACACAUGCAAGUCGAACGGCAGCACGGAGCUUGCUCUGGUGGCGAGUGGCGAACGGGUGAGUAAUAUAUCGGAGCGUACCCAAGAGUGGGGGAUAACGUAGCGAAAGUUACGCUAAUACCGCAUACGAUCUAAGGAUGAAAGCAGGGGACCGCAAGGCCUUGUGCUCCUGGAGCGGCCGAUAUCUGAUUAGCUAGUUGGUGAGGUAAAGGCUCACCAAGGCAUCGAUCCGUAGCUGGUCUGAGAGGACGGCCAGCCACACUGGAGCUGGGACACGGUCCAGACUCCUACGGGGGGCAGCAGUGGGGAAUUUUGGACAAUGGGGGCAACCCUGAUCCAGCAAUGCCGCGUGAGUGAAGAAGGCCUUCGGGUUGUAAAGCUCUUUUGUCAGGGAAGAAACGGUCGUGGCUAAUAUCCAUGGCUAAUGACGGUACCUGAAGAAUAAGCACCGGCUAACUACGUGCCAGCCGCCGCAGUAAUAC